CCUACGGGUGGCAGCAGUGGGGAAUAUUGCGCAAUGGGGGCAACCCUGACGCAGCAACGCCGCGUGAUUGAAGAAGGCCUUCGGGUUGUAAAGAUCUUUAAUCAGGGACGAAAAAUGACGGUACCUGAAGAAUAAGCUCCGGCUAACUACGUGCCAGCAGCCGCGGUAAUCCGUAGGGAGCAAGCGUUAUCCGGAUUUACUGGGUGUAAAGGGCGCGUAGGCGGGUUGGUAAGUCAGAAGUGAAAGCUGGGGGCUCAACCCCCAAACUGCAUUUGAAACUGCGGGACUUGAGUGAUGGAGAGGCAGGCGGAAUUCCCAGUGUAGCGGUGAAAUGCGUAGAUAUUGGGAGGAACACCAGUGGCGAAGGCGGCCUGCUGGACAUUAACUGACGCUGAGGCGCGAAAGCGUGGGGAGCAAACAGGAUUAGAUACCCUUGUAGUC
rnacentral:rRNA from 1 species